UUUAACAUUGGUAAAUAUCCUAAAUGCACAAGAUCCUGCUUGAUCUUGGAAACUAAGCAGGUUCAGAGCUGGUUAGUAGUUGGAUGGUAAACUGCCAAUGAAUACCAGGUACUGUUAACU
rnacentral:rRNA from 11 species